rnacentral:rRNA from 1 species
AACGAACGCUGGCGGCAGGCUUAACACAUGCAAGUCGAACGGGUGUAGCAAUACAUCAGUGGCAGACGGGUGAGUAACACGUGGGAACCUUCCUAGGGGUACGGAACAACUCAGGGAAACUUGAGCUAAUACCGUAUACGUCCGUGAGGAGAAAGAUUUAUCGCCCUUAGACGGGCCCGCGUCGGAUUAGCUAGUUGGUGGGGUAACGGCCUACCAAGGCGACGAUCCGUAGCUGAUCUUAGAGGAUGAUCAGCCACACUGGGACUGAGACACGGCCCAGACUCCUACGGGAGGCAGCAGUGGGGAAUCUUGGAUAAUGGGCGCAAGCCUGAUCCAGCCAUGCCGCGUGAGUGAAGAAGGUCUUCGGAUUGUAAAGCUCUUUUGCCAGGGACGAUAAUGACGGUACCUGGAGAAUAAGCCCGGCAAACUUCGUGCCAGCAGCCGCGGUAAU